rnacentral:tRNA from 1 species
GCCGCGGUAGCUCAGUCGGUAGAGCGCCGGGCUGUUAACCCGGCGGUCGGAGGUUCGAGUCCUCCCCGCGGCGCCA